GCAUUAGUGAUUCAGUGGUAGAAGUAUUACCUUCCAUGCGAGAGACCCUGGUUCGACUCCCAGCCAAUGCA
rnacentral:tRNA from 1 species